UACGGAGGGUGCAAGCGUUAUCCGGAUUCACUGGGUUUAAAGGGCGCGUAGGCGGCGCAACAAGUCACUUGUGAAAUCUCCGGGCUUAACCCGGAGCGGCCAAGUGAUACUGUCGUGCUAGAGUGCGGAAGGGGCUACUGGAAUUCUCGGUGUAGCGGUGAAAUGCGUAGAUAUCGAGAGGAACACCUGCGGCGAAGGCGGGUAGCUGGGCCGACACUGACGCUGAGGCGCGAAAGCCAGGGGAGCGAACGGG
rnacentral:rRNA from 1 species